rnacentral:rRNA from 1 species
GGACCUCGAGAUCACUCCAACCCAUGUGACGUUACCAAACUGUUGCCUCGGCGGGAUCUCUGCCCCGGGUGCGUCGCAGCCCCGGACCAAGGCGCCCGCCGGAGGACCAACCAAAACUCUUUUUGUAUACCCCCUCGCGGGUUUUUUAUAAUCUGAGCCUUCUCGGCGCCUCUCGUAGGCGUUUCGAAAAUGAAUCAAAACUUUCAACAACGGAUCUCUUGGUUCUGGCAUCGAUGAAGAACGCAGCGAAAUGCGAUAAGUAAUGUGAAUUGCAGAAUUCAGUGAAUCAUCGAAUCUUUGAACGCACAUUGCGCCCGCCAGUAUUCUGGCGGGCAUGCCUGUCCGAGCGUCAUUUCAACCCUCGAACCCCUCCGGGGGGUCGGCGUUGGGGAUCGGCCCUGCCUCUUGGCGGUGGCCGUCUCCGAAAUACAGUGGCGGUCUCGCCGCAGCCUCUCCUGCGCAGUAGUUUGCACACUCGCAUCGGGAGCGCGGCGCGUCCACAGCCGUUAAACACCCAACUUCUGAAAUGUUGACCUCGGAUCAGGUAGGAAUACCCGCUGAACUUAAGCAUAUCAAUAAGCGGAGGAACGUAAGAAUUAGCUGAGGAGCUUACAAUAGGGGGGGGGAGGCGAUUACCAUACCG